CUGAGUUUAGGAUCAAAUUGUGUAAAUAUGCCUUUGAGAAGGAGUUUAAGUUUGUACAUGUGAAAAAUGAUUUGAAACGUGUGACAACAGAAUGUGUGAAUAAGCAAAGUGAAGGUUGCCCUUGGCGCGUGCAUGAAACUGAUAAAAGAUGGUGGUGAUACCAUUUUGGAAUUUCUGGACACUAUACCCAAAGAAAGUUCGUC
rnacentral:lncRNA from 1 species